CGGGAAGAGCUCAAAUUUAAAAUCUGGUCGUCUUCGGCGGCCCGAGUUGUAGUUUAGAGAAGCGUUUUCUGUGCCGGACCACGUACAAGUCCCUUGGAAUCGGGCGUCGUGGAGGGUGAGAACCCCGUCUCUGACGUGGAACACCGGUGCUCUGUGAUGCGCUCUCGAA
rnacentral:rRNA from 1 species